UGCCUCCUUUUCUUAUUUGCUAGAUAAAGCCGAGGAGAGGCGAAUCAUGCCGUCCUCCUUUCUUUCUUUUCCUAUGUGUGCGGGCGAGAUUGACGCCCAUUAUAACAUUAAAAUCAAGCCAUUCUCGUUUUCAAUCUAUCAAGCCUUUCUUUGAUUGUCACCUCAUGCAGUGCCCUUUUUCUUAUUCUUCUUAUACUUAGAUCACUGAUGAGGGUGCCGUUGUCAUGCACGUCCAAGGAGCCACGAUGUUGAUGAGCCCUCCAUCACCCACUCUUUUCUUUUCAUGCAGAGUCCUUAACUGUCUGUUUUCAUUGAUCCGAGAACCUUUCCACUUUUUUCUCUAUUUUGUCCAUCUCCGCCGGCCAUCAUCGUCGCUGCCCAUGACCAAGCCUUCCACCACUGCCAUAUAUAGCCAGGCCGCCAAUACUCCUUGCUUCUCCUCUCUCCUUCCCUCCUCUCCUUCCAUGGAUGCUUCUCUCCCCCACGCUCUCUCCCUCCCUCUCAUUUUCCUCUCACAUUCUCUUUUUGCUAUGUUCUCUCUUCCUUUUUAUUUUUCUUUUCGCUCUCUCUCGGAUUCUCUCAAACUUGAAUGAUCGGCAUAGGGCUGACCCCCCAUCUUCUCACUCUCUUAACCUUCAUCUAUGUUCCUAUGUCUUUCUUCCUUUGCCUCUCUAUCUUUCUCUUUCUCUAUCUAAACUAGUUUAUUUAUUUUUAUAUACGUGUAGGAGAGCAAGGAGCACCAAAUCUUGGAGGCAUGUGAGGCUUUGCAGACUGAUCCCACUAUUGAGGUCUAUGAGAGUGCAGAGCACCAAAUCUUGGAACCAUUUCAGGUUCUCGAAAACUUUCCCACCCCUGAAAUGCCAACAUUUAGUAUGGAUGGGACCAUGGGCUAUGAGAGAGAGGACAAGGAGUAGAAGCAACUCUUUUUUUUGUAAUAAAUAUCUAUAAAAUCCAUAAAGAACAUGUUUGGAAGUAAUAUUAGACCUUGAAUUAUGAAUAAUUAUCAUUCUAUAAAA